UACAGAGGUCUCAAGCGUUGUUCGGAUUCAUUGGGCGUAAGGGCGCGUAGGCUGCGGGGCAAGUCGGGUGUGAAAUCUCAGAGCUCAACUCUGAAACUGCACUCGAUACUGCUUUGCUCGAGGACUGGAGAGGAGAUUGGAAUUCACGGUGUAGCAGUGAAAUGCGUAGAUAUCGUGAGGAAGACCAGUGGCGAAGGCGGAUCUCUGGACAGUUCCUGACGCUGAGGCGCGAAGGCCAGGGGAGCAAACGGG
rnacentral:rRNA from 1 species